CAAGAAUAUCUCCAGUUUCUACUUCCUCUUCUUGUUCUUGUUCUUCAUUGUAAUAAUGUUUUCUUUUUCUUUCUAAGAUAAGGACAAAAGGGAAAAAAAAAAAAAACCCACAAACCCAUCAAGGUAAGCUUUGUCAAGUGUUCAAUAAUGGUGAUUGCUGUGGAUUCAUCUGCAACGAAAAUGGCAGCUACUAUAACGAUGGGUUUUGGAAGCUCGUAUGAAGCGUGGAGUAACCGUAGAAGGAACCGGUGACGGAGGCGGUGGCGACGGCUGUGAUAUUGGCGGGUUCGGCUCAAUCUCUUUUUUCUUUUUUGGUCCCAUAAUGUUGGUAAAAAGCAACGAGUAGUUUGGUUUUUUAUUUAUUUUCUUUUUUCUAUUAUUAGCUUCUGCUUUUGGAUUCAUUUUUAUGCUGUUGCUUGGUUCAUGAAUGGAAAAGAAGCAUAAUUUCAUGGGAAAAUAAUUUAAAACAAGAAAAUAUUAUUGCAGUAAGAGGUCUUUUGGAACAAACAAUGCAGACUUCAAUGCUGUAUACUGUUUCAUUGUCCUAAAGCCUCUGUCACUGUAAUUUUCGUUUUCUUUUAUCUCUGGGAAAACGUGUUGCUUAUUAGUACUAUAUUGUUAUUUGUUAUAUUAUGUGACAACCCCAUUUAUUAUUAUAUAGUCAGUUGAUUUAGUUAUUCAA